CCGUGGCCUCAUUAAUCUGCUCGAGACCAGCAUUGGCGGUGCCGACAAAACCAGCUGGGCAGAGCCAAGACGAGGUGAUGGGGCCAGAAUGGACUGAGGUCACAAACACCUGCACGAAAUUCGCCUUUUUCAGUCUUGCAAACUAGGGCGCCCGCAGCUCCACGGCACGGGGCCUGUUAGUGCUAAAUUCAUCGCGUCUGGCAAAAAGGAAAAUAAAACAAAAUGAAAAGCCCAUAAAGUCGAA
rnacentral:lncRNA from 1 species